rnacentral:rRNA from 1 species
CCCUUAGAUGUCCUGGGCCGCACGCGCGCUACACUGACAUGUUCAACAAGCCUCCUAGUUCGACAGGAUUUGGGAAAUCUUUGAACGCAUGUCGUGAUAGGGAUAGAUCAUUGCAAUUAUUGAUCUUGAACGAGGAAUUCCUAGUAAACGCGAGUCAUCAGCUCGCAUUGAUUACGUCCCUGCCCUUUGUACACACCGCCCGUCGCACCUACCGAUUGAAUGUUUCGGUGAAGAUUCCGGAUAGGACUUUUUUGAUUUAUUUCAAUUUUGUCUUAAAAGCUAUCUAAACCUCAACAUUUAGAGGGAGGUGAAGUCGUAACA